UCGGGAGGCUGAGGCAGGAGAAUCGCUUGAACCUGGGAGGAGGAGGUUGCAUUGAGCCGAGAUCGCGCCACUGCACUCCAGCCUGGUCAACAGGGCGAGACUCUGUCUCAAAAAAAAAAAAAAAAGACUGUCCUUUAGCUUCUCUGUUUGGACUUCUGCCCCAUUUCUGGACCUCACCUGCUGCUCUCCCAGAAUGCCCUGGCUCCCUCUGGCUUGGGGUGGUGGUUGAGUGGCGGGGGUGGUGAGUCAGCCCAGCCCACAGUCAUCUUCCUCACCAUCACUUGUCAUAUAGUAUGCCAAGCACUUUACAGACAUUCUCUCCUGUGAUUGCAACAGCAACACAUUUUCUGGACAAGCAGCUUGGCUUAGUAGGCAGAGCUUGGAUUUAGAGUCUUCUCCACUGGGGGGACGGAGAUGUUCAUUGCAAUGCCAGCCUCUCACUGCUGCCUCCCACCCUCAGAUCUCUUUGCAGAGUCCCUGCAGUGCAAGGUGGACUGUGAGGCCAAUUUGACCCCCAAUGUGGGUGGCUACUUCGUGGACAAGUUCGUGGCCACCAUGUACCACUACCUGCAGUUUGCCUACUAUAAGUUGAAUGAUGUGCGCCAGGCUGCCCGCAGCGCCGCCAGCUACAUGCUCUUCGACCCCAAGGACAGCGUCAUGCAGCAGAACCUGGUGUAUUACCGGUUCCACCGGGCUCGCUGGGGCCUGGAAGAGGAGGACUUCCAGCCCCGGGAGGAGGCCAUGCUCUACCACAACCAGACCGCCGAGCUGCGGGAGCUGCUGGAGUUCACCCACAUGUACCUGCAGUCAGAUGAUGAGAUGGAGCUGGAGGAGACAGAACCGCCCCUGGAGCCUGAGGAUGCCCUAUCUGACGCUGAGUUUGAGGGGGAGGGUGACUACGAGGAGGGCAUGUAUGCUGACUGGUGGCAGGAGCCGGAUGCCAAGGGUGACGAGGCUGAGGCUGAGCCAGAGCCUGAACUCGCAUGAGAAGGGGACACCCCACACCCCUCAAGCUUGGGAAGCCUGGUGCCAAUGGCCCCACCCUCACCAGCCUGGGCAGCAGCAAGAACUAUUUAUUAAAAACUUAAGAUGGGCCAGGUGCGGUGGCUCACACCUGUAAUCCCAGCAUUUUGGGAGGCCAAGGUGGGUGGAUCACUUGAGGCCAGGAGUUCAAGACCAGCCUGGCCAACAUGAUGAGACCUCCGUCUCUACUAAAAUACAUAAAUUAGCCGGGUGUGGUGGCAGGUGCCUGAAAUCCCAGCUACUCAAGAGGCUGAGGCAGGAGAAUCGCUUGAACCUGGGAGGCAAAGGUUGCAGUGAACUGAGAUUGCGCCACCGCACUCCAGCCUGGGCGACAGAGCGAGACUCCAUCUUUAAAAAAA
rnacentral:lncRNA from 1 species